UAGGGAAUUUUCGGCAAUGGGGGCAACCCUGACCGAGCAACGCCGCGUGAAUGACGAAGUACUUCGGUAUGUAAAGUUCUUUUAUUGGGGAAGAAUGACUUGUGGAAAAGCAAGUGUGACGGUACCUAAUGAAUAAGCCCCGGCUAACUAUGUGCCAGCAGCCGCGGUAAUACAUAGGGGGCAAGCGUUAUCCGGAAUUAUUGGGCGUAAAGGGUGCGUAGGCGGCCAUUUAAGUCUUUGGUGUAAGUUCAGUGCUCAACGCUGUGAUGCUAAAGAAACUGGGUGGCUUGAGUGAGGUAGAGGCAAGUGGAAUUCCAUGUGUAGCGGUAAAAUGCGUAAAUAUAUGGAGGAACACCAGUGGCGAAGGCGGCUUGCUGGGCCUUAACUGACGCUGAGGCAC
rnacentral:rRNA from 1 species